rnacentral:rRNA from 1 species
UACGUAGGUGGCAAGCGUUGUCCGGAUUUAUUGGGUUUAAAGGGUGCGUAGGCGGCCUAUUAAGUCAGUUCUGAAAUAUCCCGGCUUAACCGGGAGGGUGGGAUUGAUACUGAUGGGCUUGAGUGGAAUCGAGGUAGGCGGAAUUGACGGUGUAGCGGUGAAAUGCUUAGAUAUCGUCAAGAACACCGAUAGUGUAGACAGCUUACUAGACUUCAACUGACGCUGAGGCACGAAAGUGUGGGGAUCAAACGGG